ensembl:lncRNA
GUUUAUAGUGCCAAAGAAGUGUUCAGGUGUUUUGCUGAGAACGGGGAAAGCCGUUCUAGGAAACCCCUGUAAGGCAAAGGACUCAGACCUGCCCAGAUCGAGGUGCUCUCUCAAAUCUGCCAGGGUUGGAUUACACUCAGUAACUCAACCAGCAUCCAUCCCUCAGCUAUUUCCAGAGCGCCACCUACUGCCAGGCUCCAGGGCGUGCAGCAGUGAAAGCCAGUCAUUGACCCUGCAGUGGGGAGCUUACCUUCUAGCCGCCAAUAUCCAUGAUCCAAAAAGCAGGCCGUGGUACCGCUGGGAUUCACCUCCUCUCCCCAAGCCAUUUCCAGCUUCAUAGAAAAGGUGAGAAAACCGAGGGACAGUGGGGUAACAUGACUUGCUCCAGGGCACACGGUUAAGAAAGUGACAGAGCUGAAAGGAACUUCUGCAACGCAACAACCGGAAAAGAAAAGCAACCCGAGUCAAAACUGAGCAAAGGACGGGCACACAUGCACAUUUCUCUGAAGAAAGCAUCAAAUGGUCAGCAAGCACACGGAAAGAUGCUUGACGUCAGUAAUCGUCAGGAAAAUACAAACCAACACUACAAUGCAAUGCCACUUCACACCUAGUAGGAGCAUUAUUAUAAAAAAAGAAAGGAAGAAAGAAGAAAACAAGUGUUGGUGAGAAUGUGGAGAAACUGGAACCCUUGUGCAUUGCUGGUGGGAUACACAAUGGAGCAGCCAUUGUAGAAAAACUAUAUGAAUAUGGCGGCUCUGCAAAAAAUUGAACAUACAGCUACCACAUGAUUCAGCAAUUCCACUUCUAAGUAUAUACCCCAAAUAAUUCAAAGCUGAUACUUGUGAACAGACACUUGUACACCCAUAAGUUCACAGCAGCGUUGGUCACAAUAGCCAAAAAGUGGAAACAUUGCAAAUCUCCACUGAUACAUGAAUGGAUAGACAAAAUGUGGUGUAUCCAUUCAGUGGGUGAGUAUUCAGCCCCAAAAAGGAAUUACAUUCUGACACAUGCUACAAGAUGGAUGAACCUUAAAAAUAUUAAGUGACGUUCAGUCAGUUCAGUUCAGUCGCUCAGUCGUGUCCGACCCCAUGAAUCGCAGCACGCCAGGCCUCUCUGUCCAUCACCAACUCCCGGAGUUCACUCAGACUCACGUCCAUCGAGUCAGUGAUGCCAUCCAGCCAUCUCAUCCUCUGUCGUCCCCUUCUCCUCCUGCCCCCAAUCCCUCCCAGCAUCAGAGUCUUUUCCAAUGAGUCAACACUUAGCAUGAGGUGGCCAAAGUACUGGAGUUUCAGCUUUAGCAUCAUUCCUUCCAAAGAACACUGGGACUGAUCUCCUUCAGAAUGGACUGGUUGGACCAGACACAAAAGUAUUGUAUGAGUCCAUUUACACGAGGUACCAAGAGCAGUCAAAUUCAAAGAGACAGAAAGUAGAAUUGUGGUUGCCAGAGGCUGGAGGGAGGACAGAAUGGGGAGUUAUUGUUUAUUGGGUACACAGGUUCAGUUUGGGAUGUUGAAAAGUUCUGGUAAUACACAAGGUAAUGACUGCACAACAAUGUGAAUGCCACUUAAUGCCCCUGAAUUGUACACUUAGAAAUGGUUACAAUGGUGAAUUUUAUGUUGUAUCUUAUAUUUUUGUUUUUUAUUUUUUGUAUUUUUUAUGUUGUAUCUUACAACUAAAAAAAUGAAAGAAAAAUAAAUGUCAGAGUUGGAUCAGGA